UACGUAGGGGGCUAGCGUUGUCCGGAAUCAUUGGGCGUAAAGCGCGUGUAGGCGGCUCGGUAAGUCUGCUGUGAAAGUCCAGGGCUCAACCCUGGGAUGCCGGUGGAUACUGUCGAGCUCGAGUCCGGAAGAGGCGAGUGGAAUUCCUGGUGUAGCGGUGAAAUGCGCAGAUAUCAGGAGGAACACCGAUGGCGAAGGCAGCUCGCUGGGACGUGACUGACGCUGAGACGCGAAAGCGUGGGGAGCAAACAGG
rnacentral:rRNA from 1 species